rnacentral:pre_miRNA from 1 species
CUAUUACUCCCUCCGUUCGGAAUUAUUCGUCCAAAAAAUGAAUGUAUCUAGAUGUAUUUUAGUUGUAGAUACAUCCAUUUUUGUGACAAGUAAUUCCGAACGGAGGGAAUACUUG